GCUCUGAGUGGCUGUGAUAUG
rnacentral:miRNA from 8 species